UGAUGGAACUACAGGCACGAGCCACCACACCCAGCUAGCUUUUCUCUUUAACACACCUCCUGCUUUUCUUACUUGUUCUCUGGGGUGGCUCCUCAGUGAGUUCUGCCAGCUCAGCAGUUCAGUGAGCAAUUCCAUCCUGUUUAGUUUAAAAUCCUUUUAACUAGGGAUGUGGCCUUCAAUUGCAUAUUGACGAGUAUGCUUUUAGCCUUAAUGCUAUGUCAGUGAUGCUCCACUGCCCACCCAGUUCCCCUUUACCAAUAUGAUGCCUCCUUCCCUCAGCCACUGUGAAUGUUGGCUCCUCCAAUGAUGUGAAUGUCUGUGUCUCCCCAAAAUUCAUAUGUUGAAGUCCUAACCCCCAAGGUGAUGGUAUUAGGAAGUGCGGACCUUUGGAAGGUGACUAGGUCAUGAGGGCUUAGUGAUCUUAUAAAAUAGGCCCUAUGGUGCUCAUUUGCCCCUUCCACCACGUGAGGACA
rnacentral:lncRNA from 10 species